GGUUUCGCAUGUCUAAGUAUAGCACUUUAUACUGUGAAACUGCGAAUGGCUCAUUAAAUCAGUUAUCGUUUAUUUGAUAGUACCUUACUACAUGGAUACCUGUGGUAAUUCUAGAGCUAAUACAUGCUAAAAACCUCGACUUCGGAAGGGGUGUAUUUAUUAGAUAAAAAACCAAUGCCCUUCGGGGCUCCUUGGUGAUUCAUAAUAACUUAACGAAUCGCAUGGCCUUGCGCCGGCGAUGGUUCAUUCAAAUUUCUGCCCUAUCAACUUUCGAUGGUAGGAUAGUGGCCUACCAUGGUGGCAACGGGUAACGGGGAAUUAGGGUUCGAUUCCGGAGAGGGAGCCUGAGAAACGGCUACCACAUCCAAGGAAGGCAGCAGGCGCGCAAAUUACCCAAUCCCGACACGGGGAGGUAGUGACAAUAAAUACUGAUACGGGGCUCUUUUGGGUCUCGUAAUUGGAAUGAGUACAAUCUAAAUCCCUUAACGAGGAACAAUUGGAGGGCAAGUCUGGUGCCAGCAGCCGCGGUAAUUCCAGCUCCAAUAGCGUAUAUUAAAGUUGUUGCAGUUAAAAAGCUCGUAGUUGAACCUUGGGUCUGGCUGGCCGGUCCGCCUCACCGCGAGUACUGGUCCGGCUGGACCUUUCCUUCUGGGGAACCUCAUGGCCUUCACUGGCUGUGGGGGGAACCAGGACUUUUACUGUGAAAAAAUUAGAGUGUUCAAAGCAGGCCUUUGCUCGAAUACAUUAGCAUGGAAUAAUAGAAUAGGACGUGCGGUUCUAUUUUGUUGGUUUCUAGGACCGCCGUAAUGAUUAAUAGGGAUAGUCGGGGGCGUCAGUAUUCAGCUGUCAGAGGUGAAAUUCUUGGAUUUGCUGAAGACUAACUACUGCGAAAGCAUUCGCCAAGGAUGUUUUCAUUAAUCAGGGAACGAAAGUUAGGGGAUCGAAGACGAUCAGAUACCGUCGUAGUCUUAACCAUAAACUAUGCCGACUAGGGAUCGGGCGGUGUUUCUAUGAUGACCCGCUCGGCACCUUACGAGAAAUCAAAGUUUUUGGGUUCUGGGGGGAGUAUGGUCGCAAGGCUGAAACUUAAAGAAAUUGACGGAAGGGCACCACAAGGCGUGGAGCCUGCGGCUUAAUUUGACUCACACGGGGAAACUCACCAGGUCCCGACAAAAUAAGGAUUGACGAAUUGAAACUCUUUCUUGAUCUUUUGGAAGGGGGGGCAUGGCCGUCUUAUUGGGGGAAGGAUUGUCUGCUUAUUUGGAAAAAGAACAAAACCCCGCCCUUAAAAACCCGGCCCGCUU
rnacentral:rRNA from 1 species